GAUGAAGAACGUAGCGAAAUGCGAUAAGUAGUGUGAAUUGCAGAAUUCAGUGAAUCAUCGAAUCUUUGAACGCACAUUGCGCCCCUUGGUAUUCCAUGGGGCAUGCCUGUUCGAGCGUCAUUUGUACCUUCAAGCUCUGCUUGGUGUUGGGUGUUUGUCUCGCCUCUGCGUGUAGACUCGCCUCAAAACAAUUGGCAGCCGGCGUAUUGAUUUCGGAGCGCAGUACAUCUCGCGCUUUGCACUCAUAACGACGACGUCCAAAAGUACAUUUUUACACUCUUGACCUCGGAUCAGGUAGGGAUACCCGCUGAACUUAAGCAUAUCAAUGAGCGGAGAA
rnacentral:misc_RNA from 1 species